GAUGAACGCUGGCGGCGUGCCUAAUACAUGCAAGUCGAGCGAACGGACGCGAAGCUUGCUUUUCUGAUGUUAGCGGCGGACGGGUGAGUCACACGUGGAUAACCUACCUAUCAGACUGGGAUCACUUCGGGAAACCGGAGCUAAUACCGGAUAAUCUUUUGAACCGCAUGGUUCAAAAGUGAAAGACGGUCUUGCUGUCACUUAUAGAUGGAUCCGCGCUGCAUUAGCUAGUUGGUAAGGUAACGGCUUACCAAGGCAACGGUGCCUAGCCGACCUGUGGGGGGGUAGGCGGACAGAGAAGGUGAGCGGCGACCCUGAGACUUACGGGAGGCAGAGGUUGGGAAUCUUCGGCAAAGGGCGGAAGCCUGCAGGAGCAACGCAGCGUGAGUGAUGAAGGGCUUCGGGUGGUAAAACGCUGUUAGUGGGGAAGAACACAUGUGUAAGUAACGGUGCGCAUGUUGACGGUACCGAUACAGAAGGCCACGGCUAAUUAGGU
rnacentral:rRNA from 1 species